rnacentral:rRNA from 1 species
AUUGAACGCUGGCGGCAUGCCUAACACAUGCAAGUCGACGGCAGCACGGGUGCUUGCACCUGGUGGCGAGUGGCGAACGGGUGAGUAAUACAUCGGAUCAUGUCCUGUAGUGGGGGUUAGCUCGGCGAAAGCCGGCUUAUUACCGCAUACGACCUACGGAGGAAAGCGGGGGACCUUCGAGCCUCGCGCUACAGGGUUGGCCGAGGGCGGAUUAGCUAGUUGGUGGGGUAAAGGCCUACCAAGGCGACGAUCAGUAGCUGGUCUGAGAGGAGGACCAGCCACACUGGAACUGAGACACGGUCCAGACUCCUACGGGAGGCAGCAGUGGGGAAUAUUGGACAAUGGGCGAAAGCCUGAUCCAGCAAUGCCGCGUGUGUGAAGAAGGCCUUCGGGUUGUAAAGCACUUUUAUCCGGAAAGAAAUGCUGGGACCUAAUACGGUGGGGUGAUGACGGUACCGGAAGAAUAAGCACCGGCUAACUACGUG